GAACGCACAUUGCGCCUCCUGGUAAUCCGUGAGGCAUGCCUGUUCGAGCGUCACUAUAAAUCAACUCGACCACACCGGUGGUUGGUCAUGGAGGAAGAGUCCAUCUCGUUGUGCGUCUCCCCUCCCAAAAUCAACGGCGGAAUGUCACUGGCACUCGGCGUAGUAGUAUUAUUCGUCGAUCACCCAGUGUUGUUCCUGCCUCCCAAACCCCCACAAUUCUCUUGAUUGACCUCGGAUCAGGUAGGGAUACCCGCUGAACUUA
rnacentral:misc_RNA from 1 species